ensembl:snRNA U6 U6 spliceosomal RNA
GUGCUUGCUUCGGCAGCACAUAUACUAAAAUUGGAACGAUACAGAGAAGAUUAGCAUGGCCCCACGCAAAUUCAUGGAGCAUUAAAAAAAACU